UGCAGCUGGUGGAGUCUCUGGGAGAGGAGCCCCAGCACCAGGAUUCCCAGGUGUUCCAGUCAGUACUCAGGACAGGAUACAGAAAACUCACCAUGGAGUUUGUGCUUGGCUGGGUUUUCCUUGUUGCUCUUUUAAAAGGUGUCAAGUGCGAGGUGCAGCUGGUGGAGUCUGGGGGAGACCUGGUGAAGCCUGGGGGGUCCCUGAGACUCUCCUGUGCAGCCUCUGGAUUCACCUUCAGUAACUAUCACAUGAGCUGGGUCCGCCAGGCUCCAGGGAAGGGGCUGCAGUGGGUCGCCGUUAUUGGUAUGAUGGAAGUAGCACAUACUAUGCAGACUCUGUGAAGGGCCAAUUCACCAUCUCCAGAGACAAUGGCAAGAACAUGCUGUAUCUGCAGAUGAACAGCCUGAGAGCCGAGGACACGGCCGUGUAUUAUUGUGCCACACUGGAUUAUUGUGGUCGCGACAGCUGCCCGGGCGCUUUUGGUUACUGGGGCCAGGGUACCCUGGUCACCGUGUCCUCAGAGCCCAAAGCCAGCCCCACUCUCUUCCCGCUGAGCCUCAGAAGCCGUGACGAAGCCGGGCACGUGGUCAUCGCCUGCCUGGUGCAGGGGUUCUUCCCACCGGAGCCCGUGAACGUGACCUGGAGCCCCGGCAAGGAGGGCGCGUCCGUCAGGAACUUCCCCCCUGUGAAGGCCACGGCCAGCAGUCUGUACACCAUGAGCAGCCAGCUGACCCUGCCAGCCGACCAGUGCCCUGUCGAGUCGUCCCUGCAGUGCCACGUUCAGCACCUCUCCGACCCCAGCAAGCCUGUGUCUGUGCCCUGCCAAGUUCCAGGCCCAAGUCCCCCGCCUUGUCCUUGUCCCUCAUGUAACCAGCCCCACCUGUCACUUCACCCGCCCGCCCUUGAGGAUCUGCUUCUGGGCUCCAAUGCCAGCCUCACGUGCACGCUGAGUGGCCUGAAAGACCCCAAGGGAGCCUCCUUCAGCUGGACGCCCUCCGGGGGGAAGGACGCGGUCCAGAAGGCCCCCGAGCGGGACUCCUGCGGCUGCUACAGCGUGUCCAGCGUGCUGCCAGGCUGCGCAGAGCCGUGGAACCGUGGGGUCACCUUCUCCUGCACGGCCACCCACCCCGAGUCCAAGAGCCCGAUAACCGGCAACAUCAGCAAACUCCCAGGAAACACCUUCCGGCCCCAGGUCCACCUGCUGCCGCCGCCGUCGGAGGAGCUGGCCCUCAACGAGCUGGUGUCGCUGACCUGCUUGGUGAGGGGCUUCAGCCCCAAGGACGUGCUGGUCCGCUGGCUACAGGGGACCCAGGAGCUGCCCCCGGAGAAGUACACGACCUGGGACUCCCUGAAGGAGCCCGGCCAGGGCGUCCCCACCUUCGCCGUGACCAGCGUGCUGCGGGUCGACGCUGAGGCCUGGAAGCAGGGGGACAAGUUCUCCUGUAUGGUGGGCCACGAGGCCCUGCCCCUGUCCUUCACCCAGAAGACCAUCGACCGCCUGGCGGGUAAACCCACCCACGUCAACGUGUCUGUGGUCAUGGCAGAGGUGGACGGCGUCUGCUACUGAAACGCCCACCCGUCCUCCCUGAAUAAAGUCCGUGUUCGCCCGGAGUGACCCCGGGCCCCCCUGA